rnacentral:rRNA from 1 species
UACGAAGGGGGCUAGCGUUGCUCGGAACCACUGGGCGUAAAGGGUGCGUAGGCGGGUCUUUAAGUCAGGGGUGAAAUCCUGGAGCUCAACUCCAGAACUGCCUUUGAUACUGAGGAUCUUGAGUACGGGAGAGGUGAGUGGAACUGCGAGUGUAGAGGUGAAAUUCGUAGAUAUUCGCAAGAACACCAGUGGCGAAGGCGGCUCACUGGCCCGGUACUGACGCUGAGGUGCGAAAGCGUGGGGAGCAAACAGG